rnacentral:rRNA from 2 species
UGGGGAAUAUUGCGCAAUGGGGGAAACCCUGACGCAGCAACGCCGCGUGAAGGAUGAAGGUUUUCGGAUUGUAAACUUCUUUGAUGAGGGACGAAGAAAAUGACGGUACCUCAAAAACAAGCCACGGCUAACUACGUGCCAGCAGCCGCGGUAAUACGUAGGUGGCGAGCGUUGUCCGGAAUUACUGGGUGUAAAGGGCGUGUAGGCGGGGAGACAAGUCAGAUGUGAAAUACCGAAGCUUAACUUCGGGGCUGCAUCUGAAACUGUUUUUCUUGAGUGUCGGAGAGGAAAGCGGAAUUCCCAGUGUAGCGGUGAAAUGCGUAGAUAUUGGGAAGAACACCGGUGGCGAAGGCGACUUGCUGGGCAGCAACUGACGCUGAGGCGCGAAAGCCAGGGGAGCAAACGGG